rnacentral:rRNA from 1 species
GACGAACGCUGGCGGCGUGCUUAACACAUGCAAGUCGAACGGAAAGGCCCUGCUUUUGUGGGGUGCUCGAGUGGCGAACGGGUGAGUAACACGUGAGUAACCUGCCCUUGACUUUGGGAUAACUUCAGGAAACUGGGGCUAAUACCGGAUAGGAGCUCCUGCUGCAUGGUGGGGGUUGGAAAGUUUCGGCGGUUGGGGAUGGACUCGCGGCUUAUCAGCUUGUUGGUGGGGUAGUGGCUUACCAAGGCUUUGACGGGUAGCCGGCCUGAGAGGGUGACCGGCCACAUUGGGACGGAGAUACGGCCCAGACUCCUACGGGAGGCAACGGUGGGGAUUAUUGCACAAUGGGCGGAGGCCGGAGGCAGCAACGCCCGGUGCGGGAUGACGGCUUUCGGGUUGUAACCGCUUUCGCCUGUGACGAAGCGUGAGUGACGGUAAUGGGUAAAGAAGCACCGGCUAACUACGUG